CAACUGGAGGAAGGUGGGGAUGACGUCAAGUCAUCAUGGCCCUUACGGCCAGGGCUACACACGUGCUACAAUGGUCGGUACAAAGGGUUGCCAAGCCGCGAGGUGGAGCUAAUCCCAUAAAACCGAUCGUAGUCCGGAUCGCAGUCUGCAACUCGACUGCGUGAAGUCGGAAUCGCUAGUAAUCGUGAAUCAGAAUGUCACGGUGAAUACGUUCCCGGGCCUUGUACACACCGCCCGUCACACCAUGGGAGUGGGUUGCUCCAGAAGUAGCUAGUCUAACCUUCGGGGGGACGGUUACCACGGAGUGAUUCAUGACU
rnacentral:rRNA from 1 species